rnacentral:sRNA from 1 species
CCCUAGCCCGGAUUGCAGCAGAAAUCCUUUUGUGGAGUUUACGAAACAAAAGAUUGCCGCGAAAAGCCGGAUUAGCU